rnacentral:rRNA from 1 species
UACAGAGGGUGCGAGCGUUAAUCGGAAUUACUGGGCGUAGAGCGCGCGUAGGCGGCUUUGCAAGUCGGGUGUGAAAUCCCCAGGCUUAACCUGGGAACUGCAUUCGAGACUGCAUUGCUAGAGUAUGGGAGAGGGAAGUGGAAUUUCCGGUGUAGCGGUGAAAUGCGUAGAUAUCGGAAGGAACAUCAGUGGCGAAAGCGACUUCCUGGACCAAUACUGACGCUCAUGUGCGAAAGCGUGGGGAGCAAACAGG